rnacentral:tRNA from 1 species
GAAGUUUUAAGUUAAUAAAAACUAUAAAUUUUCAAAAUUUAAUAUAAAAGAUAAGCUUUUAAAUUUCA